GCGUCUCAGUUCAGAUUGCAGGCUGCAACCCGCCUGCAUGAAGCCGGAAUCGCUAGUAAUCGCGGAUCAGAAUGCCGCGGUGAAUACGUUCCCGGGUCUUGUACACACCGCCCGUCGCACCAUGGGAGUCGGAAAUGCCCGAAGCCGGUGGCCUAACCGAUAAGGGAGGAGCCGUCGAAGGCAGGUCUGAUGACUGGGGUGAAGUCGUAACAAGGUAUC
rnacentral:rRNA from 1 species